UGUGGAGUGUCAGAAGUUGGUAUCUGGAAGGUCUCAUAAGCCUUUGCAUUCGCCUCGUGGGUUCGAGUCCCACCUCCGCAA
rnacentral:tRNA from 1 species